AGAAAUAAGUUAAAUCCGCAUUUUUACAUUAAUGUCAUUUCUCUUAAGGUUCUUAAUUGUACACAAAACCAUUUUUAUUAUUAUUACAUACUUAAUUUGUUUUGAGUAGUGUAAUUUUUGUAUGAUCAAGUCUAAUGGUGUCCCAUAUGUUUGUGGCGUGUGGUGAUGGCGGCAGCUCGAUCGUCGUCGUCGGCGACAUCGACAUGGCUUGAAGCGGCCGGCGGCGUGACUUGUCGUUGUAUUCCUUAAGCUUGCCGUUUUAAUGUUUUGAGUUUUUUUUCUUUUUUUGCGCACGCCCGUGUUGCUUGUUCUAUAUCUAUUAUGAUGGAGAGACUCCACACUUUUAUCGUGCUGUGGAUAUGACGGCUUGGCGACGACAACGUCAACGACGACGGCAAAAAAUGACACAAGGCGACUUUCAGCGCGGCGGCGGCGUAGUGACUAUGACCACCACCGCUGUUGUUGCUGUCGCUGCAGUGCACAGUGUUGGCGGCGGCGUUUUUCUAUUUGAAAUUAAAAACUCAAACAAUUUGUUUCGCGAGCCGCCCGAUGACAUUCAUUUUUUAUUUGCUUUUUAUUUUGUAUGCCCCCAAUCCCGCAAAGUGAGUUAAGUGUAUUAAAAAAGUGCUCGAGUUCGCUUUGCUGCCGCUGCGUUGUGCUGCAGGGACAUAUUUAAUAAUAUUGACAAGAAGCAAUAGGUUUGCCCACUGCAUUGGAUUGGAUUGGACAGCGGUGACAGUGGAUAGAGAGUGAACGUGGACAAUCGCUCAGGUCUCAGGAAUGUCUCCAUAAAAAGUGGGACGUCACGUCAUAUGGAACACACCUCCUAUCGGUGCUCCGUUGUAACAGAAAAAGAAACAGCAACAGCAGGAAGUCAUGUACACGUGGUAUGUUGCCGUAACCGUAACGUAUAGAGUCAGAGAGUGUAUAGUACUUAUGUUGCCGCUUUGGAAGCCAUCAGCAGAGGUCACUAUUGAUUGCUGUAGAAAUGUCAAAGUAGAAAAGAGUAACGAGAACUUAUUUUUUCACUUUGAACAAGAGGAUUCCUGGAUGAUGAUGGUGUAAAUUUUCAGUUGCAGUUUUGUUUUGUCACUUUUAUGUAGAUAUUUUUUGGAAAUUUAAUGAAGCUGUUAGGCUUUGAAUAUGACUUUUUCCUUUGAUCCUUAAGCAUUUUUAAUCAUUUUCAAAAAUAAAAAGUAAAGACAACAUAGA